rnacentral:misc_RNA from 1 species
GGCGUCUCUCUUCUCACCAUCUUAAACAUGUAGAAAAUCAGAAACACCAAAAUCGCUUGCAGCUCCCGGCAAAGGAGAAGAUGUGUGAUUUUAUAGUAAAGGAUAUGAUUUGCGGAGCUUCGAAUUACUAUAUAGGAAAAGAAGGCUAGAAAAUGAGAGAGAUAGUAGGGCUCUGUCACCAAUAGAUUCAGCCAUUCCCCCGGUCGAAAGUCGGUCCGCUCCUUCUUCUUACCCACCAUGGCGAUUCACUGUAUCAGACUUGUGGAUCGAAGAGGUAACAGAAUGGAACACCGAUGAUCACAACGCCGUGGAAGAUGCUGUCGGUUG